GACGAACGCUGGCGGCGUGCUUAACACAUGCAAGUCGAACGGAAAGGCCCUGCUUUUGUCGGGUUCUCGAGUGGCGAACGGGUGAGUAACACGGGAUUAACCUGCCUUGUACGUUGGGAUAACUUGAGGAAACUGUGGCUAAUACCGGAUAGGAGCUCGUGCAGCAUGGUGGUGGUCGGAAAGUUUCGGCGGUUGGGUAUGGACUCGCGGCUUAUCAGCUUGUUGGUUGGGUAGUAGCUUACCAAGGCUUUGACGGGUAGUCGGCCUGAGAGGGUGACCAGCCACAUUGGGACUGAGAUACGGCCCAGACUCAUACAGGAGGCAGCAGUGGGGAAUAUUGUACAGUGGGCGGAAGACUGUUGCAGCAACGCCGCGAGAGGGAUGAAGGCCUUCGGGUUGUAAACCGCUUUCGGCUGUGACGAAGCGUGAGUGACGGUAAUGGGUAAAGAAGCACCGGCUAACUACGUG
rnacentral:rRNA from 1 species